rnacentral:sRNA from 1 species
UUACCUUAAAGCUUUCGCUAUAUCUUCAUUUGCAGGGUCCAACUUCAAGCCAUCUGCAAAAGCUUCACAAGCUUUUCCAUAGUCCUUUAGAAACAUGAAAGCUGCCCCUUGUCGAUAGCAUGCUUUGGGCCAACUGGGCCGCAACAUUCUGCACAUGUUAGCAUCAGCAAGAGCCCCAUUGCCGGUUGACAAACGCAACCAGCACAGGCUCCUGUUUGCUAGCAGGGUUGCCUUAUCAUGAGCAUUAGUGGUAAGUUCUAUUGCCUGAAUGUAGUGUUGUCCUGCAAGCAUAUAUUCCUCUCUCUCGAAAGCCUCUCUAGCUUGUAAUUUCAGUUCAGCACUUUUCCUUUUAGACAGAUCAUUAUCCCUUGGCUUCAAACCAAAAGUUUGCACAUGAGAAAUAACUCCAUCGAUACUCCAAUCAGGCAGUGUUGAAAUUGGUGAAGUUAAAGGAAACAACAUUUUAACAAUGUCCCUUCUGCCUCGAUUAGCGGCAACUUCAAUUGGAAAUAUUACUCACUUCAUCUGGAAUAUUUGAAUUAGCACCAGCAUCUAGUAAGCACUUCAUGAUGACAGGAGAGCCAUGAUUUGCUGCGACCAUCACACAAGUAACACCAUUGGGAUCUCUAAAAUUCACAUCAGCACCAACCUGUGUAAAUGAAAUUUGAUACUAUCCUUAAAAGCUUAACAAGUCAGGCAUUUCUUUUGCACAGAUGAGGGAGCAACAAAAAAAAUUGAUGUCUUACAUCAGCGUGAUGCUCCAAUAAAAUCUUCAUCGUGCUAUAUUGGCCAUUCAUCGCAGCUGUCAGCAAUGGGGUCCCAGUGAUAGAAUCUAAAUCCACAUCAACUCCUCUUGAAAGAAACAACUCUACUAUUUCGCAAUAGACCUUUCGUUGCAGCAGCAUGAAAAGGUAACACUGAUUUAUCAAUCGUAGGAUCAGAACCGUGAUCGAGAAGAUAUCUUGUAGCAGCAGCUCUCCCAUGAAUUGAAGAAAGGCACAGUGGCAAUGCAAGACCUUUGGCAUUGAACUGGUUGACGCUGAGGUGGAGGUCCUCCACGAGGUACCUGAGGACAUCCAUGCUUCCUCGGGCGGCCGCCAGGUGGAGAGCGCGGUUCCCGUCGGCCCUGCCCGCCACCGCCGCCACGACGGCAGCCUCGCCCUGCCCGGUGAAAUAUACGAUACAAUACUCACUCCUGAGGAGGCGGAGGUUGUCAUCGUAGGCGGCCUGGAGGAGCAUCUUCUCCUGCUCCUGCUUCCCCAUCG